GAGGGUAUAGCUUAAGUGGUAGAGUGCAUGCUUAGCAUGCACAAGGUCCUGGGUUCAAUCCCCAGUACCUCCU
rfam:Camelus ferus unplaced genomic scaffold scaffold2303, whole genome shotgun sequence.